AAUGAACGCUGGCGGCAGGCCUAACACAUGCAAGUCGAGCGGAUGAAUGGGGCUUUCGCUUGGAUUCCGUUGCGGACGGGUGGGUAAUGCACACGAAGCUGCCUGGUAGAUGGGGCUAACGUCAGGUAACGGGCGCUGAUACCGCAUACGUCCAGAUGGAGAACCUGGGGGUUCUUCGGACCUCACGCUAUCAGCUGUGACUAGGUCGGAUUAGCUAGUUGGUGGGGUAAAGGCGUACCAAGGCGACGAUGCGUAGCUGGUCUGAGAGGGUGAUCAGGCACACUGGAACUGAGACACGGUCCAGACUCCUACGGGAGGCAGCAGUGGGGAAUAUUGGGCAAUGGGCGAAAGCCUGAUCCAGCAAUGCCGCGUGUGUGAAGAAGGUCUUCGGAUUGUAAAGCUCUGUAAGUAGGGAGGAAGGAAAGUGUGUGUAUACCUGGCUGUUUUGACGGUACCUACAGAAUAAGCCCCGGCUAACUUCGUG
rnacentral:rRNA from 1 species